AACGAACGCUGGCGGCAUGCCUAACACAUGCAAGUCGAACGAGACCUCCGGGUCUAGUGGCGCACGGGUGCGUAACGCGUGGGAACAUGCCCUUAGGUUCGGAAUAACUCCCCGACAGGGGUGCUAAUACCGGAUAAUGUCUUCGGACCAAAGAUUUAUCGCCUUUGGAUGGGCCCGCGUUGGAUUAGCUAGUUGGUAGGGUAAAAGCCUACCAAGGCGACGAUCCAUAGCUGGUCUGAGAGGAUGAUCAGCCACACUGGGACUGAGACACGGCCCAGACUCCUACGGGAGGCAGCAGUGGGGAAUAUUGGACAAUGGGCGAAAGCCUGAUCCAGCAAUGCCGCGUGAGUGAUGAAGGCCUUAGGGUUGUAAAGCUCUUUUAACCGGGAUGAUAAUGACAGUACCGGGAGAAUAAGCUCCGGCUAACUCCGUG
rnacentral:rRNA from 1 species